AAUUUAAUUUAAGGUACUUAAGGAGGAAGCUAGUCUGGGGUACAUUUUGUAAGAGCUAGUUUGGAGGACCUUUGUUAUUGUGCUAUUGCAGCUGGAAUGCCGCGGUUUUGGAGUCAUCAAGUUGCAAUUAGAUAAGUAUUAUAUUUUAAAUAUAUAUUUCCCAGUAAUAGCUUGUGUUCCCUUGUUUCAAUAGUUAGAGUCUUUGAAGCUGGAGCUGCGUGCUUGACGUCAGCAGGAUGGAGCCGUCCACUAGCAUCUGCUACUUUGUCUGUCCGGUUUGUUAUUAUUUAUGUGUUCUUGAGUAAUCUUUGUAUCGCAUUCUUAUUUAUUUUCCUUUCAUUACAGGUUAGGAGAGAAUUCGUCGAAG